AUGGUAACAUUAUAAGUUUUUAUUGAACUUAAUACAAUUUCAGAGAUAGGUUAUAUUUGUUUUUUCCCCUACUUCCUACUUCAUCUUGAAGCUUAUUCUGGAUGUAUAAACUGAUUCCAAAGACAAUUUUCCUUCAUCCUGAGUUUAUGAACUCCUAGGAGGCUAAGACUUCAAUAUCUAUUUUCUUAGGAAGGCUGCAUUUGUAUAAAUGUAUUAAGCUUGAUUUCUCUCUGAAAGCAAAUAUGAGUACAUUUUUUUUUCCUAACUUGGUAACAACUUUAAAUCAAAAUCUCUAGAUAAAGAACCUUUCCCCUCAUGGUUAAGGAGAAAAUCUGCUUUCCUAUCUUUCCUAUUUACUUAACAUUUUUGGUGAUACAAUGAAUAAGAUAUCAGCCAAAGAGUGACUCUGUCUUCCCCUGUUUUUUUUUUUUUUUUUUUUUUUCUUUUCCUGCUACAGGUUGUGUUUCACAUGGUUGUGGGUAUGAUGUGCUACAGCAACAUGACAUCUUGAUUAGGUAUAUCGGUCAUGACUGCUUUAAAGAACAUUCUCACCUCAGAGUUCUCAGGUCAUGACAUUAUGUUCUUGGUAUUCUUAGCCUAAGCACUCAUGAAAAUGGAACGCUUUUUUGUUUUCUUGGUCAUCUGUGGUAGGGUGAAUUGAAUUCCAGUUACCAUGGGAAACUUAUUUGUUUUUGGUUUGUUUCUUUUUUUUCUAAUGGCGUCUUAUAUUAAAAGUAAAAUCUGGGAAAUAUCUAAAAUGUCUAUUGAGAUGAGAGCAAAACAAUAUCUAAACAGAGUUUAUAAAUCCUAUCCUUUUUAUAGAAUACCCAAAACACAGAUUUAGAAUCUCCAACAGUGGCCAUAACUUAUAUAAAAACACUUAAUACAUUAGCUGUUUAUAUCUGCAAGAAAUAAUAUCUUGUUUAAUUGUCCUACUGAAUAUAAAUGUAUGUGAUUUUCCUGAUAAUAUAUAUUUGUACCAAAUCCAUAAAUUUUAACCUUUACUUCUAAAAUUUUCUUGCUUUGGAUAUAGUUAUUAGCAGUCAUCUGUAGCAGGGGAGAGCCCUGUUAGAGCAAGCUGGCAGAUAUCAAAACAAAUGACUUCUCUUGUACCACAUCUGAUACAUGCCCUAGAGGUUUAGAGCUUGGAUUCUCUUUGGCAAAUAAGAAAAUAAAAUAUUUAAGAAAGUAUGCAGUAAGAGUUAUUUUAGCCUAUAUUGAAGCAGCAGUUCUAUGACUUCACCACAAAAAAAAAAAUUUUGUGAAGAUAAAAGAAUUGUGGCAUAUGGACUGAUGAAGUGGCCCUUUUUAUUUUUGGGACAUAGAUAAAGCAGAUAAGAGGAACUGAUCCAAGCUUUAAAGAGAACAAUCAUUUGGAAAUGGCUUUUUGGAGCUCUUAGCAGAAAAAACAAAGGUAAGAUCAUGAAUUAUGUUUCUUAUCACUUAACUAAAACUGGGUACAAUAGCCAUUAUUGGUUAUAUUUAAUAUGACAACAGACUAAAUGCUUCCCAUUUUAUGUGAGGUACUUAAAACCUUAAAGUUUGGUGAAGGACUAUAACAGCAGAAAUUCCUUCUUUCCUACCUUUCUCCUCCCCCCCUUUCCUUUUUCUUUUUCCUCUACCCUCCCUGCUUCCCUUUUUCCAACUGGUAGGAAAUGAAUGUAGAUGGAACAAUAUGAUGAAUGGAUUUUGAACAAUUUCAGUAAAAUAAUAUGUACUUACAGGUUAAAUUGGGUUUCUCAGUGUGUUAACACAUUAUCAGAGUCACUUAU